AGAAGGCAGGGCCGUGACUAUGAGGGCGGAGGAGAGAAGUGCGGCUGUGAUCUGGGGAAGGAGGGAAACCCAAGGAUGCCAGCACGUGCGGUUGAGGUGAGAAGGGAUCUUGCAGAACGCUUCCAGGACCCAGAUUCGUAUGCACGCCCUGCCCAGCUGGUCAGCCUCAGUUUCCCCAUCUGUCAGUCUGGACAGUGACGCUCCCAGCGUCCGGCGAAGCCCCGCUCUUGGCCCUUGGUCCCUCCGCCUGAUCACAAGAGGGUGCCGCGACGGCCGGGGACGGGUCUGGCGUGGGCAGGGACCUCUCCGACCCUCAUUGAGGAAAGAAUGGCGGAACCCGAAAACCGGGCCCUGGCGUCCCUCCUGCAAGAGCCUCUAGAAAGAACUAGCCCUAUGGGCAACUCAACUUUAGCCCAGUGAAACUGAUCGUUGACUUCUGGACUGCAGAACUGCAAGAUAAGAAGUGUGUGUUUAGCCAGGCAUGGUGGCCCAUGCCUGUAAUCCCAGCACUUUGGGAGGCUGAGGUGGGUAGAUUACUUGAGACCAAGAGUUCAAGACCAGCCUGGCCAACAUGGUGAAACCCCGUCUCUAUUACAAAUACAAAAAGCCGGGUGUGGUGGCGGGCGCCUGUAAUAUCAGCUACUUGGGAGACUGAGGCAGGAGAAUGAUUUGAACCUAGGAGGCAGAGGUUGCAGUGAACCGAGGUUGCGCCACUGCACUCUAGCCUGGGCUACAGAGCGAGACUCUGUCUCAAAAAAAUAAAUAAAUAAAUGAAAUAAGGCCGGCUGCGGUGGCUCAGGCCUGUAAUCCCAGCACUUUGGGAGGGCAAGGCAGGCAAAUCACGAGGCCGGGAGUUUGAGAUCAGCCUGGCCAACAUGGUGAAACCCCGUCUCUACUAAAAAUACAAAAAUUAGCCAGGCAUGGUGGCGGGCGCCUGUAAUCCCAGCUACUUGGGAGCCUAAGGCAGGAGAAUCGCUUGAACCCGGGAAGCGGAGGUUGCAGUAAGCCGAGAUCAUACCACUCCACUCCAGCUCGGGCGACAGAGUGAGACUCUGUUUCAAAAAUAAAUUAAAAAAAAUAAACGCGUGUUCUAAAUAAUUAAGUUGGGGGUAUUUUGUCACAGCAGCCACAGAAAAUGAAUAGACCACCAACUCUGCGGCUGUCUGACCAGGUUUCUUCCCUAUGAGGCUGGGCUGUGGCUGCCCAGUGACCCAGUACACUGGUCCCAGCCCCUGUGGGUGACAUCGGCAUGUGGGUGUGGGCAAGAACUGGUCUGGGAAGACACACUGUGGACUCCCUAGUGUUCCUCCUCUGGCUCCCACCUGGAAGCAGCAGCUCACACCAGAGCUAGCUCUAGACAGUCCUGGGCCCAGGGUGCAUUCCCAGGCUGCCUGGGUCACCUGCAAUUCUGUCACUCCCUUGUUUGGCACCUACUGUAUGCUGGUGCUGAGGACACACGUUAACAAAUCAAACAGGAGCCUCCAGCCACAUAGAAGUCACGUUUCGCUUUGGAACAUGCUGGGUGCCCAUUCCCAAAACACAGCACUCCAUCCCAGAGUGAGGUGAGGCAGGAUUGGGGGGGUGGUGUGCAGGGCCUGGGAGGAAACAGAAGCCCCAGGUUCAGUCUGCACAGAGAAUAGCUGCCAUCUACCCCCAUAACUAACCCAGGAAGACUUCUGGGAGGAAGAGGACAGGAGCCCAUAUGCCACCUUCCCUGGAGGCUGCUGUCUAUUGGGAAGGCUCAGGGUUCACCUCGAGGUACAAGAAAGGAGGCUGGGCAGGACAGAUGGAGCCCUGGAGGAAGAAGUGCAGUAACUGGCAUCAAGAUAUUAAUCGGGGGUGAUGGGGACUCUGGUGGCCAGGGAAAGGGACUAGGAUCCCUCUGGCUAACCAAGGAGGUCCAGGACUCCCACCCCCACCAUUGUCUGCCUCUGUCUGACCCCUGGGGUGAUGUUGGCCUCUGAGCCAUGAUAAGCACAGCUGCACCACAGCAUAUUGGGAGGAUCCUAGAAGCCACGACCCAGGGGGAAGUGGAGGCUCCCAGAGCAGUUUGGGACUUAGGAUUGGGGCGGGAGCCAGUCUUUAAGGCUCAAGUUCCUCCCCAGCCCUGGCCAGGACACCCUGUUACUUCAAGCCUGAGCCCCAGCCCCAACCAGGUGUACAGGAUGGCAACUCUACACCCGGGACCAGCAUGUAGACAGCUGGAGCCCACCCAGGCCCAGCCUGCAGGCAGUAGAAAACAAACUCCACAGAUGGGUGGAGUGGUGGGACGUCCCCUGCAAUGAGCCAGUUGGGGAGGAGGUGACCAAGGAAGAAUAGCAGCAGCAGCUCUGCCCUCCAAAGAUAGGCGGGCCCCUGCAACCUAUGGCCAAUCCGAAGGAUGAGUGCUUUGGCCUCCAGUGCUGGCAAGGACGCUCCCCCAGGAAUCUGUGGUGAGGAUGACUGGGGGCACUCCCAGCAAGACCCGUUCAAGGAUCCGUGUGGGGCUGCCCCUGGCUGGGCACCUGCAUGGAUGUCAGUCGGGGGCGUCCACAGCUGGACUCCUACAAGGGAUGAGGAUCAGGGAUGCUUCCAACUGCACCCCCACGGAGUAGGGGUUGCGGAGCAGGAGCAAGCCCCAGCAGGACCCUUAUAGAGGUCACGGUCAGGGCACCCUCCGCUGGACAGCCACAAGAAUGGGGGUCAGGGGUGUUCCCAGAGGAUCCUUGUGGGACGACUGCGGUGCCUGCUCCUUGAGAGGGUCCAGCCCCAUGGUGACAAUGCCAAGGAUGCUUGCCCUAAGCCCCAAUCUGGAGAAACAGGUAAGUGCUGCGCGCCCUACUAAGGGCCCCAGAUAACACGGAGGUGCCAGGCCUGGAGGCAGGACUGCAGUACUGGCGCACUUAUUGUGAGCCCCACAGCCUCCUCGCGCCCCGUGGCCACGGGGCCCAGCCGGGGCCAGCCUCUGUGCCCCACGUGCCAUCCGAUCGCCUGUCCAGCGUCCUCUCGGCCUCCGCCGGGUCCUCGGGGCCCGCCUCGGGCUCCAGCGCAUCUUCUGCAGUUCCUGGCAGGGCCGUGUCC
rnacentral:lncRNA from 1 species